rnacentral:lncRNA from 1 species
UUGUAGCCUGGGAGACAGAGUGAGAGCCCGUCUCAAAGGGAAAUAAAAGGCAAGUGUUGAGAAAAAGAAAAUUAUAUAUUAACCCUUUGCUUAGUAAAUAUUUAAUCAUUAUGCUAGUACUUUACCUAUGUUAUCUUAUUACAAAAUUCCUCUAAAGCAGACAUAAUUACAGAUUAUUUUUUACUGAUGAUAUAAGAGCUAAUAUUAAUAUUUACUGCAUAUUAGGUAAUUGAUGAGUAAAUGACAUGUUUUUAUUUCAGUGAGCACCAUUUUAUGGAUAAAGAGACAGAGGUUUAGGGAGUUACUUGCUCAAUGUCACUCAGCCACUGACCACAUAUCUGGAGAGUGCUUUUAAAUUUAGGGUUGAGGAGGCCUGGGGAAACUCAGCUUACAGCCAUAUUUGUACUAGAAGAUUUUCGGUACAACUGGAGGGCAACAAUAUAUAUCAUCAUGCUGCUGAACAUGCAGGUGUCUUAGAAUUUGGUAUGCUAAAAGAACUUUUGAAACAUGUAUUAAUUGGCACAUUACUGUUUUGAAGUUUAGCAGUGUUAUAUAUAUUUUCUUAGGUUUUGUGUUUGAAAAUAGAAUUCAUAAAAUAUGAGUAAAUUAAAAGCAUAUGUGAACAACUUUUAAUACUUACAUAUUAUUACUUCUCAUCUCAUUGAGUAGAGAAGGCUUUGAGGAAG